CCAGCCGAACUUUUCUUAACUAAAUCUAUAUUGAAAUAUAUUUAAGUAGUACUAGUUAACAGAAAUAUGAGAGUAUUAAAAGGAGAACUUAGGUUUUAGCCGAAACCAAAUUUCUCCUCCUCCCUCACGCGCGCGACGGUGAUCGGCGGAACCGCAGAAAAGCUAGGGCUUUGUUCUCCGGCGCCGGCGAAGGCCUUUUUCCAGCCGGUCUUUACAGAUUCGAGGUUCCCUAGUCGAAGAGAGCUCGUGGGCACGAGGAAGGGUUGAAAUCUCGAGGUUUGAAGCUUCACCUGAACCCUAGACCUCCUUCCUCCUCUCGGUUGUAAGUCCAAGCAAACAAGGGAUACAGGUGAUGUGUGAUGCCAGGACUAUGGAAGCCUUGGGACUAGGAAAGAAGUU